GGGGCAGGUCAGGAGGAGGGGAGGGGCAGGUCAGGAGGGGUGGGGUAGGGGUCCACAGGAGGAGGGGUGGGGCAGGUGCAGGAGGAGGGGUGGGGCAGGUCAGGAGGGGUGGGGCAGGGGUCCACAGGAGGAGGGGUGGGGCAGGGGUCCACAGGAGGGGUCUCGGCAGGGGUGUUGCUCCCUCUCCCCUCAGCCUCCUGGGGCCUGUGGGUGGCGGUGAGGGAGUCUGCGUGUGCGGUGGCUGCCGGCACCUGUUCCCGCUAACUCUCCAGUGGCUGGGCCAGAUGCGGUUCCCAUGGCAACCUUCCCCCCAGCAGGCGCUGCUGUAAAGCGAGUUUUCCACUUCCUCUUGCCCAAGUCUCGCGCAGCAGGUGCUCGCAGGGUGGAGGCCGCCGUGUGGCGGGGGCCGCCCUGCUGGGCCUGCCCGCUGCCACCUCACUGCCCGGCCUUGGGGGCCGCAGCAGCUGCGGGGACCACAGCCACACCCCGCACCCAGGACUGCGGCAGGCAUCUCCUUCCCCACGGGGGACGCGGGCCAGGUCACAGCCCCGCCGGGGAGGACGCCCGGGCACGUCCCCUACACAGGGACCAAGGUGGCCGUGCCCGGCGCGUGGGGCUGACCCAGCGCCCGGAGCUCUGAGGUCCCGCCGUGACCUCCCUGCCCCAAAGCCGACCCCACAAGCCUGUGUCUGGCCUCCUCCUGUGCCCCGUGGACGGAGACGGGCGUCCCAGCCUCAGCGCAGGUUCCGAAUAGGGUGGGAGGGGUCUCUAAGUCGCAGCAGGGAGGCAGCGACCCCCAGAGCCCGGCUGUCUGGGGCGGAACAGAGCCAUGUGCUGUUCCUGGAAGCCACUUCCUCAAAUCCGUCGAAAUCAGCGCAGCGCAGAGUUCCAAGCCUCCCUGUGCCCGGCCACCCCCCACCCCGGCCCACCCCGGCCGCCUGUGGCUCUGUGCUGCCGAGCCGGGCGCCGGGGAGCCCAGGCGGGGCUGUCGGGCAGACUCGCAUCUGGAGAGUUCUGCCGGGCGCCGAGUCUAGAACAUUCCAGGGGACAGCGCUGGCCCAGGUCAGCAGAGUCUGUGACCACGUCCGGAGGCUGUACCUGCAGGCUGCUGUCUCGGGGGCGGGUCUGGCUCCAGGCCACCUCCCCUUGGUGGCCUGUCCAUGCCCACGGCUUCCGGGCCUGGCGGCCUCCUCUGUAACACGCGGAGAAGGGCAGUGGGGCUCCUCCGAG
rnacentral:lncRNA from 1 species